UGGCACGUGGAGGAGCUUCCGCGGCACGUGACCGGCCAUGAUCUUCCCCCACAUGUUCAUGAAGUCUGAGGCAGAAAACGCAUCUCCAAGGACGUUGGCCCAGCUGAGUCCCACUGCCAUUCCUCCACAUUUGAACCAAGUGAACUGCUUGCAAAUUACCACAUGAAAAAACGACCAUGUAAAUAUGUGCAAAGAGGAUUCAUUUGUUCCUAAUUAGUCUAAAGUCCAGACCCUUUCCCGGCAGAUCAUCUAAUCAAUAUGGUUGAAAAUAACAAAACUUGUCCAAUCAGGUCUCUGUCAAAAGUUCCACGUAGCGAUUGUGAUUUACGCCUAUUUCUGGCAUGUGCUUAUCACACAUACACAAUUAGAUAAUUAUGAAAAAAAGACGCGUAUAACUCAUAUCAUUGUAGCUACUAAUUAUACGUUACUUAUACGAUUAUAUAUGAUUGUACUCCCAGCCUAAAUGACAGAUUCUCUCUUAAAACCACGACACCACAUCGUCAUGACUUCAAUCAAUCACAACGAAGUGUUACGAUUUAUUUUUCCUUUGCUUCUCUCUCCUAUUAGUUUCUACUAAUUGCAACCGGAGUAGAUGCCACUAUAAUUGUGCUUGAAUGAUUGAGAGAUUUUCUCCUCUGCACGCCUACUCCAGUUAUGAUUGAGUAGGCACCAAGAUCUACAAAUUUAGAAAUACAGCUAUUUUUGUUGUAUUGGAUUUAUACAAUUUUUUUUGAAUUAACGAAUAGCAUGUACAUAUACUGAAAUACCAAGAACAAAAGAUGAGCUAAAACAAGUACAUAGUAUAGUUAUUACCUGUAAAAAGACCAAAGGAGAGUAACCAAGAUCAGGACCAAGGGAUUGAUUAUAAGCAAGCCCAUCAAAGAGAGAAGAGUCCUCCACAGCCCUGGCGAACCAUUCAUCAACUGUUUCUUCAGAAUGCGCUUCUACAAUUCUCACACCGCCGUCGUUACACUUGAUGAACGGCCUCCCCG
rnacentral:lncRNA from 1 species